ensembl:snoRNA
GCCCAAUGAUGAGACCAAGGCGAAUGCGAGCUCGUUGGGUAAGAGUCUGAGCUCUUCUGUGCUCCUAUUGGCUGGUUAUCUUGGCUGGGCAGGGGAGAUUUGCUGCUUCGCUGUAAGGGCCCGCCUACAUAAAUCGUGUUCUUCCUAUCAAGCUCUUCCUCAGAGAAAUGCAGGAGAGAUUUGGGAAGAAUGAUCAUAGUGUGUGUGUGUGUGUGUGUGUGUGUGUGUGUGUGGACACAGGUCGAAACUCAGUUCUCUGUAAUGUCCAAUGAGCUAUGAGCUAGUUCUUUUGUAAUCUGAGGGCA